GCUUGCUCUGGCUAAUCAUGCAAGUUUCCGGCCCAACUCCCUAGGCUUGGAAGCAAACAAUGCUAACUGGCGCGCGAUCACGACAUGCCAGAAGGAAAAUCGCAAAGGUUUGUGCACCUCGUUUCAAUGUUGGGACAAAAUUGGUACGGAGUACAGGGUGAACGGAUUCAUUACAGCAGCAGGUAACAUGACAACGAAUGUAGUAGUAGCAGCAGUAGCAAUCUCAUUUUUACAGUGGCUAAACCAAUCAAUCAACCGAACGGACGAAGGGGACUAGGGGGAGGAAGGAAUUGUAGCAGCGAUCUCGCUCACCAUUCUCACCGGGACGCCCGCGGAAUCCUCAAAUCCACCCGAACCGGUCACCAUUUUUUUUCCUGAGAUACUUUGGACACCUUUCCUUUGACCACUCAAUCAGCGUUCCUUCCCCUGCUCCGGUCCGACGACCGAUGUGGCGGUCAGGCGCGGCCGGCUCCGUCGUGGGGCGGCAGCGGCGGCGGGCCGAAGAGCGGCGGCGCGUCGCGGCCGCCGAGGUCCAUGGACGACUUGGCGGAGGCAGGCGGUCCGACGAAGCGCGCGGAGAAGUCGCGGUAGCCGGUGUAGUCGCCCUCGGGGCUGGCGCCGUGGCCCUCGUCGAAGUUGAGCGCGUAGCUGAGCGCGUCGUAGUUGAGCUUGCGGCCGCCGAAGUGGUGGUGGUGCGGCCGCGCGGGCGGGCCGCUGCGGCCGAACCGCCGGAUGAAGGUCUUCCACCGCGGGCCGGCCACCAGCUCCGACCACUCGCGCACCUUGAGCACCGCGUCCACCGCGCGCUGCCACCAGGUCUCCUCCGCCGCCGCCGCCGCCGCCGCCGCGGCGCCGCCGACCCGCUGGUGGGAGGAGGAGGAGGAGGCGGCGGCGGGCCAGGGGAAGCAGCAGCACCGCCGGCCCCCGCGCGCGAAGAAGGCCGCCUCCGCCUCGUCCAUGCCCGCGGCCGACGCGCCGCCGUGGUCGGUGUCCAUCGCCCGCCGGGGGGGGUCGUGUGGCGCGGCACGGAAACCCUCUUCUGCGUUCCCUCACAGGCUCAGGGUCAGGGGCCGCGGCGCGCGGCGGCUGGAUCUUUUUGGGGGGCUCUUGGCCUUUGGGCAGCGGGCGACUGCGGUUUUUAUCGGGGGUGGUUUGAUGGUUUCGACGCGGCCGCGGGUGGAGUCAACGGUUGGCGCGGCUCGCUGACGUGGGCCGGGAGGCGCGGGCCCGGUGGGGGACGUCGCAACGUUCGCAAACCCUCUGCGCUUACUUUUCUUCUCCAACGGAUCGUGCACAGGCGAGUGAAUUUCUUUACAUUGUGCAAAAGCAUGGCAUUGGUCAUGGGUGGGUACUUG
rnacentral:misc_RNA from 1 species